AGCCACAUCACAUUGAAACACUGGUUCCCACACGAUCACCCAAGUUAAGCAACAUCAAGCUUGGUCAGUAUGUAGAUGGGUGACCCCUUGGGAAUACCAAGUGCUGGAAG